rnacentral:rRNA from 1 species
CACGUAGGGCGCGAGCGUUGUCCGGAAUUAUUGGGCGUAAAGAGCUCGUAGGCGGCCUGUUGCGUCCGCUGUGAAAGCCCGGGGCUUAACCCCGGGUCGGCAGUGGAUACGGGCAGGCUAGAGGUAGGUAGGGGAGAAUGGAAUUCCCGGUGUAGCGGUGAAAUGCGCAGAUAUCGGGAGGAACACCGGUGGCGAAGGCGGUUCUCUGGGCCUUACCUGACGCUGAGGAGCGAAAGCGUGGGGAGCGAACAGU